CGGAAUUAGGGGUGAAGAUUUGCCAGUUUUGCAUCCUAUGGCGGUUCGUUGAGAGGCGGGAAAUUAACGAAGCUGUUGUCUGCCACUAGUACCAACCAUGAUACAGCCGAUGUCGUACGGUUAUCCGUAUGGAGUGAAGCUAGACCCCAAAACACUGGCAGAGAUGCAAGAAAAACGAGACAAGGCUCUGCACUCACGCCGCAAUGCUUCUGUGAGCGUUCUAUGGAAGCAAACUCUGGUGUGCGCCGGUCUGGCGCUGUUUGGGGUGGGUGUGGGGAUAGGUAACAUUAUGGUGGGGACGGAUACUGACGACGUACACCACACACGCUGGCACAUCACCGGGGGCUCACUCUACCCAGGGAUCUUGUUCUUCAUCCAAUACGUAAUGUACAUCUUUGCGGGCCUCGCUGCUUUAACGUUCUUCGCCCUUUCCGUGGUCGGCAUUCUUUGGUGUACUAAAGCAGUUGACACGCACUAUGUGAAGGAUAAAAAAACCCAUGUCUACACGGCGUAUAAUACCACGUGUCCUAACGACGAGACGGCGGCCAUAGUAACGGCAAGUCUGGCCGUGAUCGACUGUGUGGCCAUUACUGUGUGUGGAUUUGUGGGGAUGAUUUAAUUCCAUCUCUACUCCAAAUCUUAUGGUCUCAAAGAGAAGGGAGAAAGUUGAUUACUUGCAUUUAAUUGGAUCUGAAAUUGAUAACACAAUUAAUCGUACUAACGUGAAAGAGAUGCUGUUGGAAUCGAUAAAAGGGAAAAUAUCCUGAUAUCUUUAUUGCAAAAAUUAUAAUUUUCACUCAUUAAAUUUCACAGAAAUAAAAACAGAUUUCUUACGGAGAUUUAUAAUGGGAAAUGUUUACAUCUUUUCUCCAUUCUGAAGUACUCGGGACCCAACUUGAUAAAAUUCGGCCAUGUUAUUUUUUUUAGUCAAGGGUUUAAUCUAGGGACACUACUUUUCACAGUGACGUGAUGAAGUGGAUAAUUUUCUACAGUUUAUUUAUUAUCAUCAUGAAUCAUGUUAUGUGUUUAUAUAUUGUUUUUAGUUGAGUAUUUUCAUUGUCAAAAUUUACUUUAGUGACUUUAUGAAGUGUUUUGCUCAUUGAAGUUAAAAUAGUUAUUUACGUUGUUGUAGAUUUGGUUCAGAAAAAUAUCAUUUAGUAUCCAUAAUUCAUGUCUUGGUGUAAAAUGCACAUUGUUGACUUUGACCUGUUGAAAUAAAUUAAUUGU
rnacentral:misc_RNA from 1 species